UACAGAGGUCUCAAGCGUUGUUCGGAUUCAUUGGGCGUAAAGGGUGCGUAGGUGGCGGGGUAAGUCAGGUGUGAAAUUUCGGAGCUUAACUCCGACACUGCAUUUGAUACUGCCUUGCUUGAGGACUGGAGAGGAGACUGGAAUUCACGGUGUAGCAGUGAAAUGCGUAGAUAUCGUGAGGAAGACCAGUGGCGAAGGCGGGUCUCUGGACAGUUCCUGACACUGAGGCACGAAGGCCAGGGGAGCAAACGGG
rnacentral:rRNA from 1 species